UUGAAUAGAUGUUUUCAGCUUGCUUGUAAACUGGAAUCAAGCGCACGUAUUGUAACCAUUGUAUGGACCAACCACACUUGUAGUGAAGAGUUAUAGAAGCGCUGUGUAACGUGCCAUGCUUGUUUGGACUCUUUUCGUUGGUCCAAUUUACCCAUCCGAGCCUUAGUCGUUGUUUUAAAGACCUGUGAACAAGAAAAAGAAAUCGUUUCGAUAGGAUGCAGUACAUUCAGUUGUGUGAGCUUAUAUAUAACGAAUAAUCCACACCGACACGAACGAUUAUUUUGACAACCGGUCUCGAGGAAGCGGCUUAGUCCCAUACGGUAGCACCUAAGCAGGGUGCAGGCGUUGACCCUCACAAAGCAAUGACAGACUGAUGUGUUGAAGGACACAUGCGCGCGCAGUCACAAAACGUUACAGUUUUGCUUUCUUUUUUCCUUUGGUACUUAAACAUCCACAUGAUCAACUGGUGACUCGGUUAUAAAGAUAAACGUGAUGAGAAACACCUUCAAUAAAUGCAUCAUUAUCACACAAAUGUUGGCAUCAGCGGAACCAAAUGAAGGAGGUGAAGCGCUUCUGCAACGGAUCCAUAAACUCCGAGAACACAACAUUAGACUUCUGAUUGGGAAUCUUGGAUUCAAAUUGUAAAAAAUAUCUGUAAUGGCAGAAUUAAAUGUUCAGCUCUCUCUCUCUCUCUCUCUCUCUCUCUCUCUCUCUCUCUCUCUCUCAUAUACGUAUGUUGAAUCUCGUCGCUUCUUGUAAAGAAUUUCUGUGACAGUCAUGAUAAUAUAUCUGAAAAAAGUAUGAAUGCCAACCCACUCACUAAUGGUUCUGUCAGUCAAAUAUUGGCGUGCAAUAGUACUGUUAAAAAGUGAUGAAUGAUUAUGUAAGAAAGCUUAAUUGGGGAAAAACUGUUUAAAUCGGCACAGAUACACACGCACAUGUACAUUAGACGCAUAUAUGUGUGCACACACUUGUGUACAUAUGUAUGUAGGCACUAUCCGUUUCCAAACAUCUGCCAAGCCUGAGAACGUGCUUUCAGUUGCACGAAUAAAAAUAUUUUUGAAACAUUAAGCACUCCUGGCCUGUGAUGCUGAAAUCGCUCCCCUUGUAACCUGACUCUCAAACUCCCCGAUGAGCUUCUCAGUCUUAUUUAGUAUUUUUAGUAAUGCAGGCUUCAAAUUCCUUUCCUUUCGAACUAUACUUUUUAUGGAUGCCCGAUUUCACUUUGGCAAGCGCUCUUGGAGAGAGAG